AGCCCCGAGGUGAAGCACAUCAAAAUGCAAGUUUGAAGAAGCACCCUUAAAAGGUGCCGGGGCUU
rnacentral:tRNA from 1 species